GCCCUCGUGGCCCAAUGGUAGGGUUUUACUUUCCGGCAGUAAGGGUUGCGGGUUCGAGUCCCGCCGAGAGCU